GCCAGACUCCUACGGGAGGCAGCAGUCGAGAAUCAUUCACAAUGGGGGAAACCCUGAUGCAGCGACGCCGCGUGAGUGAAGAAGUAUUUCGGUAUGUAAAGCUCUAUCAGCAGGGAAGAAAAUGACGGUACCUGACUAAGAAGCCCCGGCUAACUACGUGCCAGCAGCCGCGGUAAUACGUAGGGGGCAAGCGUUAUCCGGAUUUACUGGGUGUAAAGGGAGCGUAGGUGGCAUGGUAAGCCAGAAGUGAAAACCCAGGGCUCAACUCUGUGGAUUGCUUUUGGAACUAUCAAGCUAGAGUGCUGGAGGGGUAAGCGGAAUUCCUAGUGUAGCGGUGAAAUGCGUAGAUAUUCGGAGGAACACCGGUGGCGAAGGCGGCCAACUGGGCUUUAACUGACGCUGAGGCUCGAAAGUGUGGGGAGCAAACAGGAUUAGAUACCCUUGUAUC
rnacentral:rRNA from 1 species